CCGGGUGAGUAACACGUGACCAAUCUACCUUCGAGUGGGGGAUAACUCCGGGAAACCGGAGCUAAUACCGCAUAACAUCUCUGGAAUGCAAAUUCCGUUGAUCAAAGGAGCAAUUCGCUUGAAGAGGAGGUCGCGGCUGAUUAGCUAGUUGGUAGGGUAAUGGCCUACCAAGGCUUAGAUCGGUAGCCGGCCUGAGAGGGCGCACGGCCACACUGGAACUGAAACACGGUCCAG
rnacentral:rRNA from 1 species